UUAAAACAUAAUUGUUCAGGAGAUACAUACCAACAUUAUACACAACUGUGAUAGUUGAGAUAAUGAACAAAUCCAUGGAACUCAUUAAGAGCCCAAAAUAUUACAAAAGGGCAUCAAUAAGGACUGCCACAAAUUACACAUAUUUAAAAAAAAACAAUAGAAACUUCAACAUACAAACAUCUAGGGGAAACAACUUCCAAAACAGCACACACAACAGCCUC
rnacentral:lncRNA from 1 species